AACAAACGCUGGCGGCGUGCCUAAUACAUGCAAGUCGAACGGGGAAAGCUUUCGGGUGAGUACUAGUGGCGCACGGGUGAGGAACGCGUGGAUAAUCUGCCUUAGAGUGGGGGAUAACUAGUCGAAAGAUUAGCUAAUACCGCAUAAGACUACAGGUGCUGCGGCUCAAGGGGUCAAAGGUUUUUCGCUCUAAGAUGAGUCCGCGUAAGAUUAGCUAGUUGGUGAGGUAACGGCUCACAAAGGCGACGAUCUUUACCUGGUCUGGGAGGAUGAUCAGUAACACUGGAACUGAGACACGGUCCAGACUCCUACGGGAGGCAGCAGUAGGGAAUAUUGCACAAUGGAGGAAGCUCUGAUGCAGCGACGCCGCGUGAGUGAUGAAGGCCUUCGGGUCGUAAAGCUCUGUCGCAGGGGAAUAACACAAUGAAGGUACCCUGUAAGAAAGGAUCGGCUAACUUCGUGCCAGCCGCCGCCGUAAUAC
rnacentral:rRNA from 1 species